UACGUAGGGAGCAAGCGUUGUCCGGAAUCAUUGGGCGUAAAGCGCGUGUAGGCGGCCAGGUAGGUCCGAUGUGAAAUCUGGAGGCUCAACCUCCAGCGGUCAUUGGAAACCAUCUGGCUAGAGUCCGGAAGAGGAGAGUGGAAUUCCUGGUGUAGCGGUGAAAUGCGCAGAUAUCAGGAAGAACACCAAUGGCGAAGGCAGCUCUCUGGGACGGUACUGACGCUGAGACGCGAAAGCGUGGGGAGCGAACAGG
rnacentral:rRNA from 1 species